rnacentral:rRNA from 1 species
AUAUCAAUAAGCGGAGGAAAAGAAACCAACAGGGAUUGCCUCAGUAACGGCGAGUGAAGCGGCAACAGCUCAAAUUUGAAAGCUAGCCUUCGGGUUCGCAUUGUAAUUUGUAGAGGAUGCUUUGGGUAAAACGCCAGUCUAAGUUCCUUGGAACAGGACGUCAUAGAGGGUGAGAAUCCCGUAUGUGACUGGAAAUGUUAACCUAUGUAAAGCUCCUUCGACGAGUCGAGUUGUUUGGGAAUGCAGCUCUAAAUGGGAGGUAAAUUUCUUCUAAAGCUAAAUAUUGGCGAGAGACCGAUAGCGCACAAGUAGAGUGAUCGAAAGAUGAAAAGCACUUUGGAAAGAGAGUUAAAAAGCACGUGAAAUUGUUGAAAGGGAAGCGCUUGCAAUCAGACUUGUUUAAACUGUUCGGCCGGUCUUCUGACCGGUUUACUCAGUUUGGACAGGCCAGCAUCAGUUUCGGCGGCCGGAUAAAGGCUCUGGGAAUGUGGCCUCCACUUCGGUGGAGGUGUUAUAGCCCAGUGUGUAAUACGGCCAGCCGGGACUGAGGUCCGCGCUUCGGCUAGGAUGCUGGCGUAAUGGUUGUAAGCGACCCGUCUUGAAACACGGACCAAGGAGUCUAACAUCUAUGCGAGUGUUCGGGUGUCAAACCCCUGCGCGAAAUGAAAGUGAACGGAGGUGGGAACCGCAAGGUGCACCAUCGACCGAUCCUGAUGUCUUCGGAUGGAUUUGAGUAAGAGCAUAGCUGUUGGGACCCGAAAGAUGGUGAACUAUGCCUGAAUAGGGUGAAGCCAGAGGAAACUCUGGUGGAGGCUCGCAGCGGUUCUGACGUGCAAAUCGAUCGUCAAAUUUGGGUAUAGGGGCGAAAGACUAAUCGAAC